rnacentral:misc_RNA from 1 species
GGACUACCCGGGUUUCUAAUCCUGUUUGCUCCCCACGCUUUCGCAUCUGAGCGUCAGUCUUUGUCCAGGGGGCCGCCUUCGCCACUGGUAUUCCUUCAGAUCUCUACGCAUUUCACCGCUACACCUGAAAUUCUACCCCCCUCUACAAGACUCUAGCCUGCCAGUUUCAAAUGCAAUUCCGAGGUUAAGCCCCGGGCUUUCACAUCUGACUUAACAGGCCGCCUGCAUGCGCUUUACGCCCAGUAAUUCCGAUUAACGCUCGCACCCUCCGUAUUACCGCGGCGGCUGGCAC